rnacentral:rRNA from 1 species
CCUACGGGAGGCUGCAGUGGGGAAUAUUGGGCAAUGGGCGCAAGCCUGACCCAGCAACGCCGCGUGAAGGAUGACGGCUUUCGGGUUGUAAACUUCCUUUCUGAGGGACGAAGAAAGUGACGGUACCUCAGGAAUAAGCCUCGGCUAACUACGUGCCAGCAGCCGCGGUAAUACGUAGGUGGCAAGCGUUAUCCGGAUUUAUUGGGUGUAAAGGGCGUGUAGGCGGGAAAGCAAGUCAGAUGUGAAAACUCAGGGCUCAACCCUGAGUCUGCAUUUGAAACUGGUUUUCUUGAGUGCUGGAGAGGCAAGCGGAAUUCCGUGUGUAGCGGUGAAAUGCGUAGAUAUACGGAGGAACACCAGUGGCGAAGGCGGAUUGCUGGACAGUAACUGACGCUGAGACGCGAAAGCGUGGGGAGCAAACAGGAUUAGAUACCCCGGUAGUC